GGUGGUUAUAUUUCUUCAUUUACCAACAACGUAGCAGCAACUACCACAGCUUGUGGUGGAAAAUUUGACAAGAAAUUCUAGGUAAUUAGCAUGUUUAAAGGGAAAUGCCUAAGCAAUUAAGAGAAGGAAGAAUCAGAGGGAAAACAAGAAGGCUUUUGUUACCCCUAUACAAGCUAGGGUUGUUUGUAGUUCAUCAACACCAAAGUAAAUCGUAGGAAUCUAUGCAGAAGAAGGAAUCUUGGCGAAGAUUGCUAAAUGCUUUCAUAUGAUUGAAUAAUUGAACGGUUGAGGUUUUAAAUUCGUGGAUCAUGGAUUUGGAACAAAUUAGAAGUGAUCUAACUACAAGUAGUUUAGGGCCUUGAAUCAUAGUGAAGGACCGUAGAUUUUUCUAUGAAUAGUGGAUGUAUUCCAUAUCAAGGACGAUUGGGACAAUCACUCUAAAUCUGGUGCAUCUUCUCC
rnacentral:lncRNA from 1 species